UUUUAAAUUAAAGGGCUGCAGUAAUUUGACUGUACAAAGGUAGCAUAAUCAUUAGUCAUUUAAUUGAUGACUUGUAUGAAAGAUUGGAUGAAAUAUAAACUGUCUCUUAAUUAAAAAUAAAAUUUAAUUUUUUAAUUAAAAAGUUAAAAUAAAUUAAAAAGACGAGAAGACCCUAUAGAGUUUAAUAAAUUAUUUAAUUAAGAUUAUUUAUAAAUUUAAAAUUAAAAUUAAUUAAUUUAUUUUGUUGGGGUGACAGAAAAAUAAAUAUAACUUUUUUUUAUUAAGAACAUAUAUAAGUGGUUAGAUGAUCCAAUAUUAUUGAUUAUAAGAAAAAAUUACCUUAGGGAUAACAGCGUAAUUUUUUUUUUUAGUUCAUAUAAAAAAAAGAGUUUGCGACCUCGAUGUUGGAUUAAGAUAAAAUUUAAAUGCAGAAG
rnacentral:rRNA from 1 species